GAUGAACGCUGGCGGCGUGCUUAACACAUGCAAGUCGAACGAUGAAGCUGGAGCUUGCUCUGGUGGAUUAGUGGCGAACGGGUGAGUAACACGUGAGCAACCUGCCCCUGACUCUGGGAUAACAGCCGGAAACGGCUGCUAAUACCGGAUAUGCACCAUGAACGCAUGUUCUGUGGUGGGAAGAUUUUUCGGUUGGGGAUGGGCUCGCGGCCUAUCAGCUUGUUGGUGAGGUAAUGGCUCACCAAGGCGUCGACGGGUAGCCGGCCUGAGAGGGUGACCGGCCACACUGGGACUGAGACACGGCCCAGACUCCUACGGGAGGCAGCAGUGGGGAAUAUUGCACAAUGGGCGAAAGCCUGAUGCAGCAACGCCGCGUGAGGGAUGACGGCCUUCGGGUUGUAAACCUCUUUUAGCAGGGAAGAAGCGAGAGUGACGGUACCUGCAGAAAAAGCGCCGGCUAACUACGUG
rnacentral:rRNA from 1 species